rnacentral:rRNA from 1 species
CAGAGUGGAUCCUGAGUACGGCGGAACACGUGAAAUUCCGUCGGAAUCCGGGAGGACCAUCUCCCAAGGCUAAAUACUCCCUAGUGACCGAUAGUGAACCAGUACCGUGAGGGAAAGGUGAAAAGCACCCCGGAAGGGGAGUGAAACAGUUCCUGAAACCGUGUGCCUACAAGUAGUUAGAGCCCGUUAAUGGGUGAUAGCGUGCCUUUUGUAGAAUGAACCGGCGAGUUACGAUUUGUUGCAAGGUUAAGCGGAAAAAGCGGAGCCGUAGCGAAAGCGAGUCUGAAUAGGGCGCAUAAGUAACAGGUCGUAGACCCGAAACCAGGUGAUCUACCCAUGUCCAGGAUGAAGGUAAGGUAAUACUUACUGGAGGUCCGAACCCACGCACGUUGAAAAGUGCGGGGAUGAGGUGUGGGUAGCGGAGAAAUUCCAAUCGAACUUGGAGAUAGCUGGUUCUCUCCGAAAUAGCUUUAGGGCUAGCCUCGAGGUAAAGAGUCAUGGAGGUAGAGCACUGUUUGGACUAGGGGCCCUUCUCGGGUUACCGAAUUCAGAUAAACUCCGAAUGCCAUGUACUUAUACUCGGGAGUCAGACUGCGAGUGAUAAGAUCCGUAGUCGAAAGGGAAACAGCCCAGACCACCAGUUAAGGUCCCCAAAUAUAUGUUAAGUGGAAAAGGAUGUGGGGUUGCUUAGACAACCAGGAUGUUGGCUUAGAAGCAGCCACCAUUGAAAGAGUGCGUAAUAGCUCACUGGUCGAGUGACCCCGCGCCGAAAAUGUACCGGGGCUAAACAUAUUACCGAAACUGUGGAUGAACCUCUUUAGAGGUUCGUGGUAGGAGAGCGUUCUAAGGGCGGUGAAGUCAGACCGGAAGGACUGGUGGAGCGCUUAGAAGUGAGAAUGCCGGUAUGAGUAGCGAAAGAAGGGUGAGAAUCCCUUCCACCGAAUAUCUAAGGUUUCCUGAGGAAGGCUCGUCCGCUC